CUGGGAAGGAGUGUCGAGGCUGGGCUGGCCCCGGCUAUAAAGAGUCCGAGCCGGUUAUUUUUAGCAGGCGGUCUCAGGACUCUAUUAAUGGUCAAGGAGAACUGGAGAAAUGAGUGAGCUCAAGCCCGUAAAAGGCUCCAAACUCCAAGAUGAGACAGAUGAUUGAAACCCACACCGUGUCCCUUCCCAACGGGCUGGAGUAAGGCUGGUGAGAUCACACCUAUAAAAUGCUUUGAGCAAUCUGGAAGAAAGGGAGGAGAAGGGGAGGAAAUCUACCCAGCUUCCCCAGCCCUCACCUCUCCGCUGCCCCGGAUCUUUUCCAUUUUAAGGAAACGAGGAUAAUCCAAACAUCGGAAACGCAAUAAUUCGAGUUGGGUUUUUCUAUCUAAAUUGUUCCCACUGACUCUCCUCCCACCAACAGGUUACUCCGGCCAAGGGCGGGGCUGCUCUGGGUAUCAGACAAGGUUAAGUCCUUUUGAGAUGGGGAAGCGGGGAUGGAGGGCCAGGAAUUCCGCUCUGCUUCCCUGAGCUUGCCUCCUCUGUUCUUCCAAGCCCCACCCAAGCCUGUUUUCUGAAAAAACAGGUGAGAUCAGAAACCACAGGGAGUGUCAAUCUUCCCCCGUUCCCCUUGUCCCUGAAUCUGGGAGUCUCUCCCCCCGGCCCCUGAGUCUGGGAGUCUCUCCCCCCGGCCCCUGAGUCUGGGAGUCUUUCCCCCCCGGCCCCUGAGUCUGGGAGUCUCUCCUCCUUGGGAGGAAGGAGCUGAAAGCUUCUGGAUCUCUUUCAAGUUAAAAUCUCAAAGCCUUUUAUAACUCCCCACAAACGCCAGCUGGGUUCUGUGGGUGUGGGCUGGAACAAUUUGACAGGUUAAUCUCCCUUCAUCCUUGUCCAGGAGGAUUGUACCCACCCUUCAGAGAAGUGUGGAAACCAGGGGAAGGUCAUACAGCUGUCAGGGGUUAAAAGGGAAUCACACCCAAAAGUCUGCGUCCCCUGACUCUGCCUCUCCCGUGUCGCUCCCAAUUCAUGCCCUCUCCCCUCAACUUCCUUUAAUUUGUGGCCUCUUGACUGCAGAUAUAUUUGUUCCAGUCACCUCUAAAUUCCUGGUUGUGGCAGGGAAAUCAUUCCCUGAGAGUUCUCCUUCUCCACUAGCUCUUCCAUCAAGAAUGAGACCAAAUCCAAGGAGAGAACAGACUCUAGUGUAGACUGGAGGGAGUAGAAAGGAUACUUAGCGAAAGGGAACAGGGCCAUUAAGGAAAAGGCUGGGGCUAGGAAGAGGAAGGACGUCUCCACCUGGGUUCAGAGCUAAAGCUUUGAGGAAGUAAGCCCUAGGGAGCAACCACGGGGGUCCUACUGGACCUCUGAGAAAUGAACUUGAAGGCACAUGAAUCCAGGAAAAAACUCUUCGUGUCUAUGAUUGUCCCCAUGGAUAGAGGCUGUCCAUGUGCCAUGAAAUCAUCUGUCCAACUAGCUUAGAAUCCUCUAGUCUGAUCUCUCAUUUACCGAGAAAGGAGCUGAGAUCAAGAGCUAGAAAAGGGUUUGCUCAAGAUCACACCGUGACUCAGUGACAGAAUUGGCAAGAGAGCCCAGGGGACAGUGGGAUGGGGGUUGGACGGGGAGAAGAGCUGGGUAGGAUUUUAGCUUGGUUAUUUACUAGCUGUGGGCUUCUGGGUAAAUCACUUCCUCUCACCUGCGCAAUGAGGGGUUUGGACUUGGUUACCUCUAAGGUGAUCUGACUUUCCAGAUCUUAAUUCUCUGAUCCUAGAGCCUCGAUUCGUUUUUCCUCUUCUGCCAGCCUUGAGGGUAGGAGGGUAACACUAGACCAAGAAUACAAGGAUUGAGCAGGGCUCACCUGCCCAGGCUUGGUGGUCCCCAUUCCCCACCAAACCCAGGACUUGAUCUCUUAGCUUCCACCUCCUGAUGUAGCUCCCUGCCCUCCAUAACCCCUAAGUCCUUCCCACUUUUUUUUAUCUCCUUUUACAGGUUGGGCUGCUCUAAGAUGAAAAAUUUCCUGGGCUAAGUAUUGGGCAUGUUUGGAAAAUCUGGGUUUGAAUCCCGGCUCACCAAAGCACCAGGUGUUCUCUGAGUCUGGACAAGCUUGGAGAAGUAUCCAUGUUCUGGUCGUGAGGUCCUGCUAUGACUCAAACUUGUCUCAUCGUCAACGUUACCUCCCAUUGUCAAGGCUAUGGCGCACUUCGUAGCCAUAGGUAGGAGUACUGAGGUAAGUACUACACUGCCUUGGGUUCUCCCCCCCCUCCCAUUAGGGUGGGGUCCCCACUUUCCUUGACUUUGAAAUUAAACUUCUCUUUGAUUUCUGACUCUCCCAUCUCCACCCUGCUCUGUCCAGCUCAAGCCAUCCAUAGGUUAGAGGCUGGUUCCACCCAGUUGACAAAACUUAUGCUUCAAAGAAGGUACUUAUCUGCAUUGGUGGAGAGACUUUCUUCACCUGGGAGUUCCCUAUGUCAUUAAAAUCACAACCUCUAUUCUACGAUGAUCAUUAUUAUUAUUCGAGGAAACAAACCUAAACUGGGAGUUAGGAAACUUACGGACCAAUUCCAGCUUUGUCACUUCAGCCAUGACCUUGGUCAUGCCAUUUGCUCUCUCUUGGUGCUAAAUUCAACCCUCUCUUUCUUCCAAGGUUAAUGACCUCUUCCCAAACAUAUAUAUAAUAUAUUUUUUUUGGUAUUUCAGCUGAGAUUACUUUAUUCCAAUUCCAAACAUUUUUUUUUUAAAUUGAGCUUUUUUUUUCUCCUGUAAAUUGAAGAUAUUGGACUAAUCCCUUGAUUCAGCUGAGACAUACUUUGGUAGAGGCAGUGUGGUGCAGUGGAGAGCAAGCACUGGCUUUGGAAACAAGAACUGUGUUCAAUUCCACUUCUGACUCUUUUCCUAUGUGACCUUGGGCACAUAAAUUCCCUGUUUUUAGUCUUAACUGUCUUUAUCUGUAAAAUGCUGGAGUUGGACUGAAUGAUCUCUGAGUCUUUUAGGAUUCUAGUUUUCUGAUCCUAAUAUCACCAAGAAGGGAGAGAUCUUUUAAAAAUAAAAUAAAAAAACCAACUGAGAUAAAAAA